UGGUGGAGUGAUUUGUCUGGUUAAUUCCGUUAACGAACGAGACCUCGACCUACUAAAUAGUGAAUCAAACUCUUCGGGGUUUGCGUUUACUUCUUAGAGGGACUUUUGGUGAGUAGCCAAAGGAAGUUCGAGGCAAUAACA
rnacentral:rRNA from 1 species